GAUUUCUGGCUUGGUGCGCGCCGUCCGCUUCCGAUAGGGAGUGUGUGCGGUUGUGCGCCUGCCAUCUUUUUAGACAUUAUGCUGUGCCCUUCACUGGGUGGCAGGUAGUGGCUGAAUCUUUUACUUUGAAAAAAUUAGAGUGUUCAAAGCAGGCUUGCGCUAUGAAUACAUUAGCAUGGAAUAAUAAUUUAGGACUCCUGUUCUAUUUUGUUGGUUUCUAGGACGGAAGUAAUGAUUGAUAGGGAUAGUUGGGGGUGCUAGUAUUCAGAGGCCAGAGGUGAAAUUCUCGGAUUCUCUGAAGACUAACUUAUGCGAAAGCAUU
rnacentral:rRNA from 1 species